GCUACAUAUUGUUAGAACUUGUAGUUGAGGUUGCUGGUGGCCAAUGAACUCACAAGUGUCAGUAGUAUCCUACAUGAGUGGCAAGACUUUCACUAUCUCCACAAAGAUCUCUGGCCCAAAGAGUGGAGUUUGAUAGUAAUUCUUGCUACAAGA